AGAUAGAACUGCUACUGGACAGAUUUCAUUUCACUUCUUUUUCUUUCUUGCAUCGAUACUGAUGCACUUGCAUUAUGUCCAACAAAUUUUGAGGCGUAUUAUCAACAACAUUUAUUACUUAUGCGUAUUAUCAACAACAUUUGUUACUUAUGCGUAUUAUCAGUGACUAUUCGUUGACAGCCUUCCCUGAAUGCAUUGUUUUUUUUUAUGGAUGUCUUUGCAUACCAGCGAAGGACGUUUAUUCAUCGGUAACUUACGUAAGAAAGUAAUUAUUUUUUGUUUAUAGUUAGAUUCGUAUGUGUUACGAAAACGUGUGUUUGAAAAAAUGAGAAAUGAUCGCUAGAGGCGACACAAUGCGUUAGUGUAACAUAUUGGCAAGGUGUCACAAAUAUUCUAGUUGGCAUAUCGAAGUUCAAGCCAAAACAAUGUCAUUAACGAUUAGAAAUAUAUUUAAUAUAAUUCAAUUGUGUAAUGCAAAUUGGAAAAAAAUAUUCAUAUCGAAAUACGACGUAUUUUUAUAUCACCACAAAAUGUAAGUUUAUAAUAUUACAUCGUUAUUACAUAUAGAGAAAAAAAUUGAAAAUAUCGUUUUUUGUUGACUUUUACGCCAUAACUUGUUUCUGAGUGUUUUGAAGUUUAGAGAGUGUCAAGGUGAAGCAAAGUUGAGUUUGUCCGAAAAGAACUAUCGUUUACUUUUUAAAAACGUUAUAAUACUGUUUAGAUAACUUAGAAACGUAUAUAACCGAUCGUAAAUUUGCUGUACUAGUUGAUACGAUUCGCUCGGCUGUGAAUUAUUGACAUUGAUUUAUUUGUUCGUCUAACAAUUGGCAGGACUCACCCUACACGAUUUUUGCAUUCGUCAGAAAGUAAUUUCUCGAACAAUGCUUCAUACUUGAAACCGUGUCUAUAGAAUGAAAUCGAUACAUACCUAUAAUAUGCGGGAAAUUGAGGAAAAGUUGGCACCGUCGUUAGUACAGUACCAUGUAUAUAGUGACUCACGACAUAUUUUAUGAAUAUAUUAUGUAUGUAACAUGAAACAUUUUCAAAUUUUAUUAACAUUAUAGUGAGAAUUGUCAUGUUAAUAUUGGUGGAGUUUGGAAUAAGUUUGAUAAUGUACAUGAAAGUUACAAGAUACAUAAUAGUAGAUAGAGUAUAUAUAAUAUUUCUCAGAGAUCAUAGGUAUUUAUGCAAUCAAUUAUCCAUUAUAUUAAUAAUCCUCGAUAUUUAGGUAGAUCAUUUGUAGCAUUUAUUCUAUGUUUAAGAUGGCUAUUCAUGCCGUAUAUUAUAUAUUUAGUAAAUGCAGUAAAUAAAUUUUAUUGCUUGCUAUAAUUACAUUUAAAUUUAACUAAUAUAAUCAUGGCAGUCGUGUCUCAUUAUAUAUACUUUUAAUGAAGUUUCAAAAUGUUUUAUACGAUGCACAUAAUAUGUAAAUAAAAGUUUUCUACAGUAAGUUAAAUACUUUCGUGAGCCACUUUACGUAUGCCGCAGUAGCCUAUAUAUGUGUAAAAUCAUUAAUCGUUUAAAUUGUAGAGGUGUGUAUGACACUGGUAAACAAGUAUCAAGAUAGUUUAACUAGUCUUAAGGAAGCAAUUCACGUGUACGGUGCGAUCUGAAUUUACGGCGUGCAUUAUUGAGCACUGAGUUAGGAAUCGUUGAACCGAUGAUAAAUGGAAAUAUUAGGAGCCACAGGUUCAUGGGAACUUGUACAUAAAUAGUGACUAGAAAAGGUAUUUGCAUACCAUUAUAUUUAUUAUAACAUUUACAUAACAAUUGUUUAGGUUAAAGUACGUUGAAUUUCACAUCAUUAAUACACUGGAAAUAAAAUAUAAAACUUGAUAAAAAGAAAAAUAUUUUGUUGGAAAAAAUAGACUUCGACCUCUUUUUUAAAUUUCGUUCUAAAUUGUGCACUUGUCGAUUCAUCGAUUUGUUUGAGCCUGCAAUAGAAAAUUCGAAUGUCAAUUAUCGUAGGUGGAACUGUGAAUCAAUUACUGGGAAAGAGGAAAUGAGUCACAGAUCGGGUGUGACGUAAAUACAUCUUUUACAAUGAACUUCGAGUUUCCGCGCCGUACCGGAAUCAUUGUCGCGAUGACGUUAUUGUUGGAUGCAUUUUACAUUCGUCAUACUGCGUUCUCUCAUCUGCUGAACUAUUUUCUUAUGAUCAAUGCACUGAAAAGUAGAUGUAUUGGACAUAUAGGACAUUGAACUCAUUAAGAAAUUCAUUAACGUUUCAGAAAAUUUUCUAUUGAUGUUUCGAAAUUUUUAUGCUUUUAAAGAACGAUUGUUUAACAUUAGCGGCGAGAUUAAUGUGCAUACCAAGUUUGUUUGAUCAUUAUCAGACAUGAAUCAUUAUUAUCGCUAAAAGAUUCAGUUAAAACAGUUCGUAAUCUGGUUUUAAUUGUCUUUAAUAUCUUCUGAACCGUUGAUGAUCUUAUCGCUUCGAAACAGUCGGUCUAUAUAUAACCUAUAAAUAUAAUAUACAUAAACUCUUCAUUUUAUUUAAUAUCGAUUGAUUAGUAAUUUGUUUGGAAUUUUAGAAUUCUUGGAAUGUAUUCGGAAUAUGUAUAUUAUUUUACGAUGCUUCCUGUGCGCGACUAGCUAUUUAGACAAUUACAACAGCACCAAACUUCACAAUUGCACAAACUUCUGGAUUUUUCUUGUCCAAGCCAGCUACGUUUGUGUCGUUCUAGAAUUGCGGUGAUCUGGAAAUAUGCAGCUGGAUCAAUACCUCUUAUAGUAUCUGCGUUGUGCCUUAUCGAUUGUUGCUUACCUCGUUGGCUGCAUCUUUCUUGAUUUCACGCGACGUUACGCCAAUGUUGCUUAGGUAUGUGGCAAUUACCGAAGUCCACAUAAUAAUUAAAAUCGCAAGUUUAGAUCGGACAUAAACGAUCAGCAAUGUAACCGAUCAUUUAGGUAACAGAUACCAUUUAUCGACCCAUAUAGAGGUGAUUUAUGUAACUUUAACGUUAGAUCAAUUUCUGCUACGAUCUGUUUUUCUAUUUGUUCGUUUUUACUUUGUUGUUGACUACUAUUUCAAUUAAAUCUUUCUUGUACUUAGUAAUCAUAUAGGAAACCGAGAAAGAUAUAUUUAAGUUGACAAUUUAUCGGUUAUAUAUAUUUAGGAUUUCCUUAGUUACCUGUAAUAUAAAUAUUUUUUUUUUUUUUUUUUUAGAGUUAAAUGAGGAUUUAUAUAUCGACGGGAAGUUCUUACUUAUAAAUUGGUAGUUUUGCUUCAUCUUGUCUCUUUACAUUUAUCGAAUGGUGCUAGGAAAUUAUAUAUGUGUCAGCCAUCCAAUCUUCAAUAUUACUCUGCAAUAUAUUUUUAUUGGGAGAAGUUAUAUAAAAUCACAUUUCCUCAGUUUGUCGAAAGCAUAAGCUAAUUGUUUUGCGACAGGCGAUUCUUAAUCGGUUAUCAUCGUGCCAAGUGAAAGCUACCUGGUCUACUGUAUACACAGCUGUUCAGUUUUAAUAAAAAAUUGACAGAAUAACAAAAGACACCAAAUUUUCUUUGAAUAUACAAUUCCAAAAUCAAAACAUUUGUUAGAAUUAGAAAGAAAAGGAAUAUCUCCGACCAAUGGUGAAGGAAUGCACAUUGAUUAUACAAUCGUUUAGCUAGACUAUCGGUUCACGAAGACGGUUUUUAAUCGGCUCAUUGUAUCGAGAAAACUUUGCCUGGCAACGAUAAGAAAAUUAAUUGCUCGUGGAAGAAGCCAGUUACCCUCGAUGCAUUCUGCUAUGUGUUGGAAAGCGCAACGAUCGUUCGCGAAAGAGAUCACGAUAAAUAUUUAUUCCGUCUUUCAUUGUUACCAUUCUCGAAGCGGCUCAUUCCCUGAAUUAUUUUUCCAAUUCGAUCAACACCGUUUAAUUUGUUUUCUCUUCUGUUUUCUCUCGAAAUUCUAAUUUAUCUGUACAAACGACCCAAGUACAUAUAUAUAUAUAUAUAUAUGUCGGGUUGGCGUUAGGGGCGUGUAAUGAGUCUUCGCCGGUGUUGUUCAUUGUUGUUGCACAAACGUUUAUUACACAGAUAUAGUUGGUACAAGAUUGACAAGCGGCUGCGGUAACUAGACGCUAAUGACAAUGACCCUAGGUUCGAUAGGGCGAAUCCACGGUCCACGGGAUAACGGAUAUACUUUGCUUCGAAGUCUAAGUCGGACUCGACUUACUCCUCGUGACACAAGGAUCGCUUGAUUAGCUCUUUGCCAAGACGUAGAUUAUUCACCGAUCGUACAAACACACUAGGUAUAUGGUUAAUGAGACUGCAAGGAAGGGAAUGACUUUCCGUCACGACGACGCUGCAGAGGAAGACUAUGAUGGGAUGUGCCUAAGGGCACGAGAUCAUUGGAUUCGUCAAAGAAAGCCUCCACGCGGAGGGUGAGGGAAAUAGGCGUUGCUGUUAAUUGGUUAAUUUCUAUAUCGGCGGUUAAAAAAGGAUGCUAGUCGCCCUUGAGAGAGAGUUCCUAGCGGGAAGCGUCAUACGUGAGGAAAUCUGAUCUCCCAUAUCUUCCCGCAAUAGGAUCUACGGGCGGAUAGAAUAAAGACUGUUUGUCAAUCUGAAAGACUUUAGUUAACUAAGUCCUAAGAUUUGUAGCGGCUCCUCAGACUAUCUGAGCAUAAACUGUGAAUGAUGCAUCGGCAUCUGGCGAUCAUCUUACCCAAAGAAUGCGGUCUGUGUGUGGCGAGCCGCGGGGCUGUUAAAAUGUUUUAUUGUCAAGUGUCGGUACUGCCAAUUCUUUAAAGGAAAGCUAUGUAACUUCAUAUCUCUGUUAGGCGGAACGUUCUUCCCGCGACCGUGGCUACGCUUCGGCGACCGAUUGUCGCCUCGAGCCUAAAAGCUCAUUGUCACAAGUUUCGAACGACUGUGUUGGGUUAUUUCGUAAAUGCUACGGUAUUGAGGUUUUCCAAGUAACUCCAACGGGGGGUCCUUUCUGUUGAAGUGAUCGUCACUUCUGAGAAAACUCAACAUCUGGUCUUCGGUUUCUCAACCGCCUAAGGUCUUCGAAGGCGCAUAGACAAAAGAAUGCGUUUAGGAAAGGCCAUAAGCGGUACACGUCCGAUGUUGGUUGAGGCAGUUGUCUUUAGUCUCAGGGUACGUAACAAGCGAAGAACAACUGGCAGAUAUAUGUACAAAGGCGUUGCCAAAACCAAGAUUUGACUAUUUGAGACAGAAAUUAGGUUUGAAAAAUAAAAAAAAAGAUAUUAAGAGGUAAUUUUUGUAAAGAUGUAGAGUUUUUAGGGAGGGUAUCGAAGUGGUUAUUAUAUUAAAAAAAAAAAAAAAAAAAAAAAAAAAAAAAGGGAAAAA